ACGCACACGGGAGGCGAUGACGUCGCGGCUUGCACCCUGGUCGCCUGAGCCGCGCCGAGCCACUGGCGAGACCGACCCGCUUGUUG
rnacentral:ncRNA from 1 species